rnacentral:rRNA from 1 species
AUUGAACGCUGGCGGCAGGCCUAACACAUGCAAGUCGAGCGGAUGAAGGGAGCUUGCUCCUGGAUUCAGCGGCGGACGGGUGAGUAAUGCCUAGGAAUCUGCCUGGUAGUGGGGGAUAACGUCCGGAAACGGGCGCUAAUACCGCAUACGUCCUGAGGGAGAAAGUGGGGGAUCUUCGGACCUCACGCUCUCAGAUGAGCCUAGGUCGGAUUAGCCAGUUGGUGGGGUAAAGGCCUACCAAGGCGACGAUCCGUAACUGGUCUGAGAGGAUGAUCAGUCACACUGGAACUGAGACACGGUCCAGACUCCUAAGGGAGGCAGCAGUGGGGAAUAUUGGACAAAGGGCGAAAGCCUGAUCCAGCCAUGCCGCGUGUGUGAAGAAGGUCUUCGGAUUGUAAAGCACUUUAAGUUGGGAGGAAGGGCAGUAAGUUAAGACCUUGCUGUUUUGACGUUACCAACAGAAUAAGCACCGGCUAACUUCGUG